GAUGAACGCUGGCGGCGUGCCUAAUACAUGCAAGUCGAGCGAACAGACGAGGAGCUUGCUCCUCUGACGUUAGCGGCGGACGGGUGAGUAACACGUGGAUAACCUACCUAUAAGACUGGGAUAACUUCGGGAAACCGGAGCUAAUACCGGAUAAUAUAUUGAACCGCAUGGUUCAAUAGUGAAAGACGGUUUUGCUGUCACUUAUAGAUGGAUCCGCGCCGCAUUAGCUAGUUGGUAAGGUAACAGCUUACCAAGGCAACGAUGCGUAGCCGACCUGAGAGGGUGAUCGGCCACACUGGAACUGAGACACGGUCCAGACUCCUACGGGAGGCAGCAGUAGGGAAUCUUCCGCAAUGGGCGAAAGCCUGACGGAGCAACGCCGCGUGAGUGAUGAAGGUCUUCGGAUCGUAAAACUCUGUUAUUAGGGAAGAACAAAUGUGUAAGUAACUAUGCACGUCUUGACGGUACCUAAUCAGAAAGCCACGGCUAGCUACGUG
rnacentral:rRNA from 1 species